CCGGCCCGGCACACGAUCACCUAUAGGCAGUAGUGGCAAAAAGACGAGACAAGUAGACAACGCCACCCUCGCGGCUCCUCUUUCUCAAAGCUGUAGUGUUUUGGCGGCAAAAUGGGAGAAGAGGAGCGAGAAGAAGAGAUUAAGCUACCAAGCUCCCAAAUCGAACCAACGGAAACCUCAGAAUCUCCAAAGCAACAGGAAUACGAGUGGCCUAAGAUUAGAUUCAAUGUUCCUCCCUACAGAACUUACCACUUUCAUAAUCAGUUCAGAACUGGUCCCAACCCUAACAAUUUUCUCAAAGGCGUCAAAUGGUCUCCUGACGGCUCCUGUUUUCUCACCAGUUCCGAGGAUAAUACUCUUCGCCUUUUCUACUUGCCGGAUGAUGGAAGCGCUGAUCAAAUUACUGCAUGCUCUUCAGUCUCUGAAGAAGAUUCCUAUGCUGCGCAACUUGUUGUGAGUGAAGGGGAAUCUGUUUAUGAUUUCUGUUGGUAUCCAUAUAUGUCAGCUUCAGAUCCAGUUACCUGUGUGUUUGCUACGACUACCCGUGACCAUCCGAUUCAUCUUUGGGAUGCUACUUCUGGCCUGCUACGUUGCACGUACCGAGCUUAUGAUGCUGUGGAUGAAAUCACUGCUGCAUUUUCAGUUGCAUUUAAUCCUGCAGGGACUAAGGUAUUCGCUGGCUACAACAAAUCUGUUAGAGUGUUUGAUGUACAUCGACCUGGUAGGGAUUUUGUACAAUAUUCAACACUACAAGGGAACAAAGAAGGUCAAACGGGUAUUAUAUCUGCAAUUGCCUUUUGUCCUACUCACACUGGAAUGCUAGCAACGGGAUCUUACAGCCAAACUACUGCAAUAUAUAGGGAAGACAAUAUGGAGCUCUUAUAUGUUUUACAUGGACAAGAAGGUGGGAUAACGCAUGUGCAAUUUUCAAAAGAUGGAAAUUAUCUAUAUACUGGAGCCCGGAAGGAUCCUUAUAUUAUGUGCUGGGACAUAAGAAAAGCUGUUGAAGUUGUCUACAAGUUAUACAGAUCAUCUGAAUCUACCAACCAACGAAUAGCUUUCGAUAUUGAGUGCUCAGGUCGGCAUCUUGGUACAGGUGGCCAGGAUGGUCUUGUUCAUAUUUACGAUUUACAAAGCGGACAGUGGGUAUCAGGCUUUCAGGCUGCAGCUGAUACCGUCAAUGGUUUCUCUUUUCAUCCUUUCCUGCCAAAAGCUGCCUCUUCAUCAGGCCACCGAAGAUUUCAAAUUCUCGAGGACGACAAUGAGGAUUUGCAGUUGAGAGGUGAGGAAAAUUGUGCUUCUGUUUGGAGUUUCUCGUAUGAUGUUACUGCUGGAGAACAACCUUGAAUGUUGGGUCAUUUUGACGGUCAAUGGGAACAUAGAAAGGGAUCCCCCAUUUUUGUAACUAGCGGCUCGUGGAAUUAUGAAGCUGACAAACCAGCUAAAGAUAAACCGGCGAGAUGAUGUUCAUAGUAGAUCAACUGGUGUCUUAGUUAACCUGCCUUUGUUUGAUUUCCGGGAUGAUAAUCACUUAGGGGUGUUGAUAGUUCGGAUUGAGUUUAUGCAUGAUAUUAAUACAUUUUAUAUUUGUUUAAGUUUGGUAGGAAAUACGAGUUCAAAAUUUUGUUCAAA